AUGUACAUUCCUACAGCAUAGCGUUAAUGCACUGGAUCCCAUUAGAACUCUGUAGUUAAGCGCACUUAGUCUAGAGUAGUACUGGGAUGGGUGAUCGCCCAGGAAUUCCUAGUGUUUUACAUG
rnacentral:rRNA from 1 species